AUCCAUCUGACGAGUCACAAAUAAGACGAAACGAGCGUCAAACUGGAU
rfam:Schistosoma rodhaini strain Burundi genome assembly, scaffold: SROB_scaffold0008318